GACGAACGCUGGCGGCGUGCUUAACACAUGCAAGUCGAACGGAAAGGCCCAGCUUGCUGGGUGCUCGAGUGGCGAACGGGUGAGUAACACGUGGGUGAUCUGCCCCUAACUUCGGGAUAAGCUUGGGAAACUGGGUCUAAUACCGGAUAGGGCAAUCGUUUAGUGUCGGUUGUGGAAAGUUUUUUCGGUUAGGGAUGAGCCCGCGGCCUAUCAGCUUGUUGGUGGGGUAAUGGCCUACCAAGGCGUCGACGGGUAGCCGGCCUGAGAGGGUGGACGGCCACAUUGGGACUGAGAUACGGCCCAGACUCCUACGGGAGGCAGCAGUGGGGAAUAUUGCACAAUGGGCGCAAGCCUGAUGCAGCGACGCCGCGUGGGGGAUGACGGCCUUCGGGUUGUAAACCUCUUUCGACAGGGACGAAGCUUUGGUGACGGUACCUGUAUAAGAAGCACCGGCUAACUACGUG
rnacentral:rRNA from 1 species